rnacentral:tRNA from 1 species
GGGGCAAUAAGAAAGAGAAGAAGCUUCUAACUUCAAUCUCGGGCAGUUAAAGUCUGCCCUUACCCCU